rnacentral:rRNA from 1 species
UGGGGGAUAUUGCACAAUGGGCGAAAGCCUGAUGCAGCGACGCCGCGUGGGGGAUGAAGGCUUUCGGGUUGUAAACCUCUUUCGCUAUCGAACAAGGCCCGCUUAGGGUGGGGUGAGGGUAGGUGGAGAAGAAGCGCCGGCUAACUACGUGCCAGCAGCCGCGGUAAUACGUAGGACGCGAGCGUUGUCCGGAAUUCUUGGGCGUAAAGGGCUUGUAGGCGGCUUGUUGCUCCUGCUGUGAAAACGCGGGGCUUAACGUCGCGCGUGCAGUGGGUACGGGCAGGCUUGAGUGUGGUAGGGGUGACUGGAAUUCCAGGUGUAGCGGUGGAAUGCGCAGAUAUCUGGAGGAACACCGAUGGCGAAGGCAGGUCACUGGGCCAUUACUGACGCUGAGGGGCGAAAGCAUGGGUAGCGAACAGG